GUACAAACCCACUAUUUUGAGGUCCCUAAGUAGCGUGGGAGUGUCGUUGGAGCGAUCAACCCAUUAUUUUUCAUCCAUUGGAAACCCUAGCAUUUUGUGGAAUUGAAGAGGAUAGAUCGUGGGCAGCCCGAAUCAUAGGUUGGAUUUAGCUUGAGUUUGGAUCGUAUUGGAGAGCGUUUGAGGUACGGACGCACAGCCUGGUGAUCCACCUGUUUAGGACACCCUUUCUGCUAUUCGGAGUGCUCCUCUCUUUCCGGAGCUUAUACUUUUGGUAUAUAUAUUUAUUAGUGCAUUUGUAUAUAUUCGUUCAUGGGUACGGCGGGGCCCUGUCCCGUCAUAUGAUUCUGUCGGUCUGUUUAGAGGUCUGUGGACAUGUUUGUGGGUUAGGGUCUUUCUGUAUGGAUAGGUGUAUAUGUUGUUUGGGCGAUCCCAUACGCCGAGGCGGCCGGUCCGCAUAUGUUUAUACGUUGCUUUGCUAGCCCUGUGUGGCCUUUGU